rnacentral:rRNA from 1 species
GAUGAACGCUGGCGGCGUGCUUAACACAUGCAAGUCGAACGAACCUUCGGGUUAGUGGCGGACGGGUGAGUAACGCGUGAGAAUCUGCCCUCAGGAGGGGGAUAACGACUGGAAACGGUCGCUAAUACCCCAUAUGCCGAGAGGUGAAAUGAAUUUCGCCUGAGGAUGAGCUCGCGUCUGAUUAGCUAGUUGGUGGGGUAAAGGCCUACCAAGGCGACGAUCAGUAGCUGGUCUGAGAGGAUGAUCAGCCACACUGGGACUGAGACACGGCCCAGACUCCUACGGGAGGCAGCAGUGGGGAAUUUUCCGCAAUGGGCGAAAGCCUGACGGAGCAACGCCGCGUGAGGGAUGAAGGCCUCUGGGCUGUAAACCUCUUUUCUCAAGGAAGAAGAUCUGACGGUACUUGAGAAU